UACGAAGGGGGCUAGCGUUGUUCGGAAUUACUGGGCGUAAAGGGCGCGUAGGCGGUGUGUCAAGUCAGGCGUGAAAGCCCCGGGCUCAACCUGGGAACCGCGCUUGAGACUGGCACGCUAGAGUUCGGGAGAGGAUGGUGGAAUUCCCAGUGUAGAGGUGAAAUUCGUAGAUAUCGGGAAGAACACCCGUGGCGAAGGCGGCUCUCUGGGACGGUACUGACGCUGAGACGCGAAAGCGUGGGGAGCGAACAGG
rnacentral:rRNA from 1 species